rnacentral:misc_RNA from 1 species
AAAUUUAUGAGGAUUUGUUGGAUAAGGGGCCUCAACCAAACAACAUGUCAUAUGAACUGAUAGUUUCUCAUUUUAACAUACUGCUGAGUGCAGCCAGAAAGAGAGGUAUUUGGCGAUGGGGUGUUAGGUUGCUGAAUAAAAUGGAAGAGAAGGGGCUUAAACCAAGCAGUAGGGAAUGGAAUGCCGUUCUUGUUGCCUGUUCCAAGGCUUCAGAAACAUCUGCUGCAGUGCAGAUAUUUAGGAGAAUGGUAGAGAAAGGUGAAAAACCUACAGUUAUAUCCUAUGGAGCGUUGCUCAGUGCUCUAGAAAAAGGCAAGCUCUAUGAUGAAGCUCUUCAGGUUUGGAAACAUAUGAUCAAAGUGGGGAUCGAGCCAAAUUUGUAUGCCUAUACUAUUAUGGCAUCAAUUUACACUGCUCAAGGGAAAUUUAACAUAGUUGAUUCUAUCAUCAAGGAGAUGGUUACUACUGGAGUUGAGCCUACAGUUGUUACAUUCAACGCUAUUAUUAGUGGAUGUGCUCGGAAUGGUAUGGAAAGUGUUGCAUACGAGUGGUUUCAGCGUAUGAAAACUCAAAACAUAACCCCGAAU